UCGUGCUAGAUGGGGAGAUAGCGGUGCCCUGUACCCGCAAUCCGCUAUAGCGGGAUUGAAUUCCCAUCCAGAGGUCUUUGGCGCUGAAGAUCGGAUUCUGCGCAAUCAAGAACUUCUAAACCCCGUCAGGACCGGAAGGUAGCAGCGGUAGGAAUGUCUCUUGGUGUGCCGCAGAGUUGUCCGGUUGGAGCUAACUGGCUCUGGGCAGACUUGGGGGCGGGA
rnacentral:SRP_RNA from 1 species